rnacentral:rRNA from 1 species
AAACUCAAAAAACGGUACUCAGUUCGGAUUGAAGGCUGAAAUUCGCCUUCAUGAAGCCGGAAUUGCUAGUAAUGGCAGGUCAGCAUACUGCCGUGAAUACGUUCCCGGGCCUUGUACACACCGCCCGUCACACCAUGGAAGUCUGCAAUGCCCGAAGCCGGUGGCCUAACCACUUAUGUGGAAGGAGCCGUCUAAGGCAGGGCAGAUGACUGGGGUGAAGUCGUAACAAGGUACC